GGUGGUGCGGUGAGGAUGCAAUUUAUGUGGACUAGAGUUUCUGAUCUUGUGGUUGAAGACAAACCCUUGGCUGUCUGAGCACACCC
rfam:Ipomoea nil DNA, scaffold: scaffold3025, cultivar: Tokyo-kokei standard.